GGAGCUGUGCCUGAACCAAAGGAUCACUUUGAUAGAGUGAAACAUGGAGGUUAAAAUCCUCCCAACUCCU
rnacentral:tRNA from 1 species